UCAACAUUUGCACAAUAUUCAGUUCUUGUAGUACAAAUGUCUCCCUCCCCCCACGCCAUCCUCGGAACCCCUCACUCGCGCCACGGCCGCAGCUUCACUCCCGUGCGCCACCCUCGGUUGUCGCGCCAUGGCCUGAGCUCAGCGGCUGUGGGUGGAGCCGCUGGGUCGAGGAACUUUGCCUCGACAGUACAACAGCACACUCUGCUGUUGGUCGCGAUAAGAGCUGCGCACAAGCCACCCCCUGUCCGCCCUCGAUCUGUCUUAGUCAUCUCCCUCUCAUCCUCUCUCUAUCUCUGGUAUGCGUUUGUGUGUGCAGGGAGUGGGAGGAGAUAGAGCAGGGGAGUGGGAGGCCCUUCCAUGGCAAAUCCGUCGGCAUCUUCCAUGGAUAUUGCGACCUCUCUUGAUUUUUGCUUGAGGAUUUCUCCUCUGGAUCUGUAGACUGUAGUUCCUGCAUAGCGGUGUCCUUUUUUCUAGUGUUCCUCUUUCGAUGUUGAUGCAUGUGUUUAAUAACCCCACUGAUGCGAAUUCUGAAAACAAGCUCCAGUACAAGAAAAAUGGGUCGUUCAGUUCAAUUCUGAAUUAUAAGUGUGUAAACACAUCCUGCUUACACAGUAACUAAUUAACUAUGAUAACCAUGUUCAGACUUCUAUAAAUCCCAAAACUAUGCAGAGUUAGGAUUGUUACUACCUUGCUUCUUACUAUUGAUUCAUUUUUUAUGAGAAGGUAUUAAGAUGGUACAUGUAGUUGGGCAUCUCAAUAUACUGUAAUGUGUUUUUUUGCAUAUUACCUUGAAAUUAUGUUAGCAAUUCUGAAUUGCGAUUGUGCUUGAAACUGAAAAUAAUUCUGUAACUUCUCAAACCUCGUGGACUUGAUGCUUAAAAUGCUUACAGAACGAAUUGAUUCUUGUUUCUUUCAUGAUCAGUUCAGCAAAAAAAAAGUUCAGUCCAAUUUCAAAUUCUCAUUUGAGUUUAGUCAAAGUUUCUUAUUUUAGUCCAGUACAAUAUCCAAGUUUAUUUCAGUUCAAUUCUUAUUUUAGUUUUAGUUCAUUUCAAUUCUUAUUUUAGUCAAUCUGUAGUCUAUGGAUUUUAUUUGGCCUAGAUUGCUAGAUGUACUAACUUGUUGUGCCAAGGCAAUAUAAAACAUUAAGUGUCGCUACUGUAAUUUGUUCAUUGUUUCAUGCCUUCCCGCCGACGCGCGCCCCCACCUCCUCGCCGACGCGCGCCCCCCGCCUCCCCGUCGACGUGCGCCGCCAUGCCUUCCUACAGACGCGCACCGCUCCGCUGCCUCAGUGCCCAUGCCGUUCAAACUCAGCCACCUAGGCCGUUCAGUUGGCGGUGUUCCUGCAGCUGCAGAGGUGGUGCUGACAGUAGUAGGCGCUGGUUGUGUUGGAUAAAAUGCCUAGGAGCUCCCAUGAUUUAUACAUGGAACCUAGAUGAUUCCGUUUCUUCAUUCCCCCAAGUGCUUCAAUGCUGGCUCCUUCUCGGCUGGCUCGAUCGCUGCUGGAUUAGGUGGGCGUAGGUGUGGGUUUACAUUGAAGCUGGCACCGCUCUUGUGUUAUUUUCUCUAGCGAUUGAGAAAUUGAUACUCUUUUUAAUGCGUAAGUUUAUCUGCUCACAACCUGUUUGUAUGAAAAGCCAAAUAGCUUGAGAAUAGCAACCUGUUCGAGCUUAGCUGAGAGGAUUUUGAAUCGUUGUGUGAGGAAGUGUGGACAUGGCCUUGAGAUAAUGCAUGCUGCUUUAUUCAUAGAGAGACGGUGCCGUUGAUUUUAUUCAUAGGAAACUGAACCAAAACAGUGGUUGCUACUAGUGUUUGGAAAUUAUAAUUACUAGAACUCUUAUUUCUCACCCUUUUAAUUGCUGGCUAAUUCUUGUAAAAAGUAGUGGUUAAUCUUGCUAAUUACUUUGAUGUGAUGCCUAGGUGGUCACUCCAGCUCCUGCAACCAACACAGGUCGUUGCCCCCUUUGCCACAACGGCAGGAGCACAAAUACGAGUGUGGUCGUCCUCAACCAGUUCCUUCACGCGGCCUUCACGCAACCCCUGCUCAUGCAUAUACCACUGAAACUGCAGGUCGCGCCCUCCUCCCACCGUAGGUGGUGCCCUCCUCCCGCAUAGCCUAUUGGUUGGUGUACCGUGACCCCUCCUCAUAUUUUUGCAGUUUGGCAUCAAAAUUCACAUCAGUUUAGGGGUGCCCGCAUCACGGUCUCACCGUGCUACCGCAAUCUCUCCUUGAUACGCCACCGGACGAGCCCCUCCUCACACUUUGGCAAGCUGUCACUUGCUCCUGUGCCUGGAUCCCAUGUGAGCGCUGAUGGUAGUCCUCUGUGUGCGUCAAUGGCACUUUCUCACAGCAAUCUCCCUCUCUUUCUUUGCUCCUGCUAUUAAAAUGCAUAGAUGUGGUAUUCUGCUAACUGAGUAGUUGGGAAGAUGUGAAAAGAACAUGCUCUUUAGGUGUUUGUGACUAUUCCUGUGAGCACCAAUGAAUUUAAAUUUUUAUUUUGUGCUUCCGUGUAUGUUUUUGGGCAGCACAAGUACAUCGUCAUAGUAAGUACAAAUGCGGUCUUAUGGAACUCUGAUAGUUGUUGGAUGCUAUUCCAAAUGCCAAUCAUGCAAAACGGUUGUUGCUAGAAUCUAGAUGAUAUUUAAUGUAGAUACCAUAGUUUCACCGUAUUUUUUGGUUCUAAAUAUUUCUGCAUACCUCUUUAAAAGAAUGUUCCGUUUGUGAUCAUUUCUUGUAGGUAUUCAUGUGGACUUUAAAUAAUGACUAUUCUUGUAGGAGGUUUGAAGAUUAUCGUGGAGCAAGUUCAAGAGAUUAGUUUCGUGAAAAUAAAUGUGAUCUUUUGGUCAGGAUUUUGCAUGAUCCAUAGCCAUCGAUGGCAACAGGAGGCGUCCUGCGUGAGUCGUCCAUCGUCUUCUAUGCGUGAGCUUGUUGUCUCUACACAUCUAGCAUCAGAGUAUCGCCUCCCCUUGCCACACACACAUGCGGUGUGGUCGAGCUAGUGUUGUUUGUGAUACUGCUCGUGACUCUUGCGUCGUCAUUGGACAAAGAAUUUGUUCUGUGACUAUGUAUUUGCAGGACCUUUAGCAAAUAUUGUUGUGUUCUGAGUAUUCUGAUGUGGGCCAAAUGGUGAGCAUUUAAACAUCAGUCUGAAUUAACAAAACUGAUAAGUUCUACUUUCAAUAAACUGAUGAACCUAGAUGCAACAAA